rnacentral:piRNA from 1 species
UGAGCUCAACCGCCUACUGGCUCACCC